CUUAAAGGAAUUGAGGGUCCCCGCACAAGCAGCGGAGCGUGUGGUUUAAUUCGAUGCUACACGAAGAACCUUACCUGGGUUUGACAUAGAGGUAGUAGGGAAGCGAAAGCGGACCGACCCUUCGGGGAGCCUCUACAGGUGUUGCAUGGCUGUCGUCAGCUCGUGUCGUGAGAUGUUCGGUUAAGUCCGCUAACGAGCGCAACCCUCGCUGUGUGUUACAAGUGUCACACGGUACUGCCGAUAUUAAGUCGGAGGAAGGUGGGGAUGACGUCAAGUCAGCAUGACCUUUAUAUCCAGGGCUACACACACGCUACAAUGGCCAGUACAAUGGGUUGCCAAGCCGCGAGGCGGAGCCAAUCCUAAAAAGCUGGCCUCAGUUCAGAUUGCAGUCUGCAACUCGACUGCAUGAAGUUGGAGUUGCUAGUAACCGCAGGUCAGCAAUACUGCGGUGAAUACGUUCCCGGGGAUU
rnacentral:rRNA from 1 species